GCGUCGAUGGUGUAACGGAUAGCAUUGGUGCCUUCCAGAGCACUAGUUCCGGGGUUCGACUCCCGGUCGACGCA
rnacentral:tRNA from 1 species